rnacentral:rRNA from 1 species
AGUGAACGCUGGCGGUAGGCCUAACACAUGCCAGUCGAACGGCAGCACAGUAAGAGCUUGCUCUUACGGGUGGCGAGUGGCGGACGGGUGAGGAAUACAUCGGAAUCUACUUUUUCGUGGGGGAUAACGUAGGGAAACUUACGCUAAUACCGCAUACGACCUACGGGUGAAAGCAGGGGAUCUUCGGACCUUGCGCGAUUGAAUGAGCCGAUGUCGGAUUAGCUAGUUGGCGGGGUAAAGGCCCACCAAGGCGACGAUCCGUAGCGGGUCUGAGAGGAUGAUCAGCCACACUGGAACUGAGACACGGUCCAGACUCCGACGGGAGGCAGCAGUGGGGAAUAUUGGACAAUGGGUGCAAGCCUGAUCCAGCCAUACCGCGUGGGUGAAGAAGGCCUUCGGGUUGUAAAGCCCUUUUGUUGGGAAAGAAAAGCAGCAGGUUAAUACCCCGCUGUUCUGACGGUACCCAAAGAAUAAGCACCGGCUAACUUCGUG